GAGGAAACCUAAUCUUUGCCUUGAAGGCUACAAACGUCAAGCAAAAUUUUCUCCCUAAAGCAAGCCAAGAGCGGCUUCAACGUUUUGGGAGGCUCCUAAGCAGCAAGCACAAUGUUAUCUAGCUCAUCACGUUUUCCUGCUUAGUAGCGUACAGUUUCUACAAUGGCUUAGCAAAAUUCUACACUAUCUAUAAGAAAGAUAUGUGGACUGAUAAGCCAAAGAACCUAAAGAAGAAGGCGCCAGCUCAUGGGGCUGCCUAGAAACUACCAAUGAUCCCAGCAAAGAAACAUCUCAUAAAUCCUAUCGAGGCGAUUGGGCCUGGUUCCUCACGGCCAGCCCUUCAAGCGAACUAGCGGAGAACUUGAGGAAGGCCCAAGUGCAAAGAAGCCCACGACUGCUUCCAAGGCAGUCGGGCAAAAGGGUACUCUCGAGCUCCCCAAGGGCUCAACGAAGUACUCCGAGCCGGCAGGAGGCUCGGGGAAGAAGAAGGUGACCGAGUAGUAGGUGGGCUUGGGAAAGAGAAAAUCGAUUGAGCAGUAAGGAGGCUUGGGAAAAUAGAAGUCGACCGAGCAAUUGGAGGGCUAGCAUAGUGACCAAGCUCUGUUUCACAAUGUUUCAAAGUCUUCUCCUUUCAUUUUUGCUAAUUGCUUUUUCCUUUUCAUGCUAGCAUAGUGACCAAGCUCUUUUUUUAUUAGAGUUAUCCAACAUUGUUGGGCAAUCACCUGGGUUGGCAAGAAGCAGAGAAUCUCAAAGAAGAUGUCUUGGUGAAGGUCGAGGUGGUAGAGAAAGAGAAAGAGUCACUGCGAGCCGAGCUUAAGUGACUUAAAGAAGGGUAGGCCGAGACCCUCGCGGUCAAUGAGAAGGAGUUUCUCGACAAAUUCUCGAGGAGCGAGGUUGCCCAACAAAAAGCUGAGACGGACCUAUAGAGGGCCAAGGAAGACCUAGCGUAGCAGCGAGAUGCCAACAAUAAACUGGCUUACAAGCUUGUCGUGGCUUAAAAAGCUGCAUCUGACUGGGAAGCCAAAUACACGGAUGCCUUGGGCCAACUCUUCCAAGAGAGGGACGACCGCAAGGAAGCCAAAGCAGAGGCUGUUAACCUCAAAAAAGAGGUUAAAGGACUGAAGUCGAAGGUCAAAAGCUACGUCUAGGAGACUUUGAUUUACUUGGUCUAGCAACUAUGGGAGGCUCAUCUCUCGCUAGACUUCUCUUUUCUUCCUGCCAUCUACCAAAAAGAAAUUGAGAGGAUGAAGGUUGAAGCAGAGGGCUUGGAGUUUGUUUACUCAGACAGCUUCGGGUCUGAUGAGAGUGAGGAUGAAUAAGGAGGCGACAAAAAGGAAGAGGUCGCAGUCAAGCAAGAGGUCAAGGACCGACCCCGCUUCCAAUUGAUGCCAGCGACCUUCCCCUGGGCGAGCCAUCAAAAUAUGCUCCUACUCCUGCUCUUAAAGAUGUUGUUCAAGUUCCUGUUGUCGAAGAUGCUCCAACC